rnacentral:rRNA from 1 species
UAGGGAAUCUUCCACAAUGGACGCAAGUCUGAUGGAGCAACGCCGCGUGAGUGAAGAAGGUCUUCGGUUCGUAAAACUCUGUUGUUAGAGAAGAACACGAGUGAGAGUAACUGUUCAUUCGAUGACGGUAUCUAACCAGCAAGUCACGGCUAACUACGUGCUAG